rnacentral:rRNA from 1 species
UACGAAGGGGGCUAGCGUUGUUCGGAGUUACUGGGCGUAAAGGGCGCGUAGGCGGCGCACCAAGUCAGGCGUGAAAGCCCUGGGCUCAACCCGGGAAUUGCGCUUGAGACUGGUGUGCUUGAGUACGGGAGAGGAUAGUGGAAUUCCCAGUGUAGAGGUGAAAUUCGUAGAUAUUGGGAAGAACACCGGUGGCGAAGGCGGCUAUCUGGACCGUAACUGACGCUGAGGCGCGAAAGCGUGGGGAGCAAACAGG